UGAUCAUAGAGCAGUCAUCCUGAUGAGCUGAAGAAAUUUUGGAGGUCUCAAUGGGUUAAGAAGAUUUCUACUUCUGUGUCCACUAGAGGGGGAGUAUAGAUCAUGUGAUUAUAUGCAAAGUACUGUUACACCUGAACAGGUAAUUAAGUCCCUCCCCUAUUGAAGGAUAUAAAAUGUGAACAGGGGUAUGGUUAUGUAGAACAUGAUUAAGGUCAAUUGCUGACUGAAACGUUGUUACUGUAUGCUGUGAUGUCUCACCAUUAAAGGAUUUUUGUGAUGAAA